rnacentral:lncRNA from 1 species
GACCCAUUGAAAUAUUCUAGUCCUUCCUCAUUUGGGAAAUGAAAGUACAACAUUCAAUUGGUAAACGACUUUCUCCUGUCUGCAGUAUUUUUGUUUGAUGAUGAAGGUCUGAAGUUUGAUUGCUAUGUUUCUUGGCCAUCUAUUAAGGGUAACGUCGUUGAACUUAAGGGGUGAAUUUUGUGGACUAAAAAUAGAAGCCAUAUUUUCAUUUUUAAGGUAAGUAUUUUUAUGGAUGAGACGUGAAAAUCUUCAGUAUAUGAUUAUAGAAAACUGAGUUAGGAGAUCAUUU